rnacentral:rRNA from 1 species
UACGUAGGCAGCAAGCGUUGUUCGGAGUUACUGGGCGUAAAGAGUGCGUAGGCGGUGUCGAAAGUUUGGCGUGAAAUCUCCCGGCUUAACUGGGAGGGUGCGCCGAAAACUGCGAUGCUGGAGUGUGGGAAAGGCAAGCGGAAUUCCUGGUGUAGCGGUGAAAUGCGUAGAUAUCCGGAGGAACACCGGUGGCGAAGGCGGCUUCCUGGACCGACACUGACGCUGAGGCGCGAAAGCUAGGGGAGCAAACGGG